GAACUCACUUCAGCAGGACAGAUACUAAAAUUGCAACUAUCCAGAGAUUAGCAUGGACCCUGUGCAAAGAUUACAUGCAAAUUAAUGAAGCGGUCCAUAAUUUU
ensembl:snRNA U6 U6 spliceosomal RNA